UACGUAGGGUGCAAGCGUUGUCCGGAAUUAUUGGGCGUAAAGAGCUCGUAGGCGGUUUGUCGCGUCGAAUGUGAAAACCCGGGGCUCAACCCCGGGCCUGCAUUCGAUACGGGCAGACUAGAGUUCGGUAGGGGAGUCUGGAAUUCCUGGUGUAGCGGUGAAAUGCGCAGAUAUCAGGAGGAACACCGAUGGCGAAGGCAGCUCGCUGGGACGGUAUUGACGCUGAGACGCGAAAGCGUGGGGAGCAAACAGG
rnacentral:rRNA from 1 species